AGCGAACGCUGGCGGCAGGCUUAACACAUGCAAGUCGAGCGGGCAUAGCAAUAUGUCAGCGGCAGACGGGUGAGUAACGCGUGGGAACGUACCUUUUGGUUCGGAACAACUGAGGGAAACUUCAGCUAAUACCGGAUAAGCCCUUACGGGGAAAGAUUUAUCGCCGAAAGAUCGGCCCGCGUCUGAUUAGCUAGUUGGUGAGGUAAUGGCUCACCAAGGCGACGAUCAGUAGCUGGUCUGAGAGGAUGAUCAGCCACAUUGGGUCUGAGACACGGCCCAAACUCCUACGGGAGGCAGCAGUGGGGAAUAUUGGACAAUGGGCGCAAGCCUGAUCCAGCCAUGCCGCGUGAGUGAUGAAGGCCCUAGGGUUGUAAAGCUCUUUUGUGCGGGAAGAUAAUGACGGUACCGCAAGAAUAAGCCCCGGCUAACUUCGUG
rnacentral:rRNA from 1 species